rnacentral:lncRNA from 1 species
UUACGUCAGAACAGAGAGCUUGUAUCUAGUUUAACCAUCCGACUCACUGGCGUGAGCAUCUCUCCAGGCCGGUUACUACUCAUGAGGCACUGAUCUCGUGAUACGCGAUGAUUGAUGAGAUCUCCCGCUCCAAGUUCACGCAAAUUCACUCACAUGCAUCAAGAAAAAUCAUUGGCCAUCGAUGCGCGGUACCAGCAUGACGUCACAGGGAACUGGAGCAAGAUUGGCUCUCUGAUCAAACUGCUUUGAUCAAAUCAUACCUUUCUCCGUACAUCUGAUCUCGACGGCGGAAAAAGAGAGGGGAGAGGGUGUGCUUUUACUCGAUGUUACAGAUUUUGCAGGCCGGAGAUAGGGCUCAAUUAUUUUCUCUUCUCAGCAAGCUUAAUUAUAAGGUCUAUUAUAAAUACAGAUCCAUCUCAUUUGCGCGGCAUCAGACGUUUCCAACCAGCCGGGCUGUGUGUCUUAGUGUCCUGUGUUUCUUCCUUGUUUUCUAAUUAUCUUUCGACCAUGUAUUUCUCUCAAAGCCUGCUAAUCGUCUCGCUUGCGGCGAUGCUGAGCCAAGGGUGGUGCGGCUACGACGACCACUACGACCACCACGAGCCGGCCCACUACUCGUUCGCCUACUCGGUGAACGACCACCACACGGCGACAUCCACUCGCAGCACGAGUCCCGGCACGGCGACUCCGUCCACGGCUCCUACUCCCUCGUCGAGCCGGACGGACACGUGAGGACCGUCAAGUACGAGGCCGACCACAAGCACGGCUUCAACGCCCACGUCAGCCGGAAGGAGUACCACCACGGCUACCACGCCCCCGCCCCUGUCCACCACCACCACGAGAGCCACCACCCCACCGCAUACUUCCAUCUUCACUAAGGGUUGAAGGAUCAUCUAUUCCCGGAUCAGGAGAACCUCUCUGGGAGGACCUUACGGGCAAUGCUAAUCCAGAUGAAUCUUCGGUCAUGACGUCGCUCGCCUGACGUAAGGGCGUAUCUCGAUUUCCUGAUGAGCCCCGUUUUACAUGUAAAUCCAUGCUUUCUGGGGCUCAUGCGGAACUCAGGAUGCUCCCUAGCGUCAGAGGAGCGACGAUGAGAGAAACCAGCGGGCUCAUUGUUGAAAUUGAUAGACAAAGCGAUGGGCAAAGAAGGCACGAGGAGUAUGGAGCGCUCCUAUUGGUUGAAUUCGGUGGUUCUUAGACUAAGGGAGAAAAUGGACCAUGUUUGACGGAAAGGAAUCAAGCCAAAUCAGCUAUUGCCAAAUUUAACUGGGAAAUUUAAUUUUUACGUGAGAACGUUUUUGCGGAUUCUCUUGAAAAUUUUGAGGAAUUUUCUUCGUACUAUGGAGAAAAUUCACUGAAAUUUGUACAAAAAUACGCACAACCGUUUUCAUGUAUAAAAUUAAAUUGCCCAAUUAAAUUUUGCAAUGGCUGAUGUGGCUUGGUUCCUUUCUGUUAAACGCGGUCCAAAUGAUGGACUGACGAAAGGGUCUCCCGUGGGUUGAAGUUAGUCAGUCUAUUACCUACCUCCUUUGUCCAUUGCAUUCACCCGCUUUCACCAAUAGGAUCCCUCCAUAACCCUUUUGUCAUCUUUGUCUAUCUCUUUGUCUACCAAUUUCAACAAUUUGCGCAAGGGACGAGGAGGAACGCUCCAUAGGUACCUUAGCAAUGCUACCGUCCUAAGGAAGAAUGCCGUAUAUGAGUCUUUAGACGUUGUCAUAUUUCCUCCAGUAAGACAUGAAUUUACUGGGAAAAUUUUAAUAUUUUUCCCCUUAAUUUUUCAGAUACUUUUGCUCGUAAUUGAAUGUAAAAUGUCUGAUUAUAUCAAGAAAAAAUGUGCAUAAAUUUCCUCAAAAAUACAUAUUUUAUCCGGUGAAAUUUGGCAACUUUCGAAUGUUCAUAUGACGUUUCUCCUUAGCAUGGCAGAAGGGUGAUUGAUUUUUCUUCCUAAACUCUUGACCUCCGAUUGUCUCUAUGAAAGGCAAGUUUUUCCGGGUGAAAAUCUGAUGGUAGAAGAAUGAAAAAAACCGUUAUCAUUUAUUUCAACACCAACGAUGAAGAUUCACUACUUCAUUAGAUCUCAUAUAGAAAUCAUGAGUCGUGCAGUAUUAGGUUGAGUUGACUCGAAACGAAGCGGAAAGUUUUCGUAGAUUUUCCGAAAAUAUUAAUUUAUCAAUAAUUUAUUUAUUUCACGCAGAAAGUGAAAGCCUCCCCCCAAAAGUUUCUUACGGCCUAUUUUAUAAGAACAUGGGAA